ensembl:lncRNA
GAGCGGUUUUGGAAAGCCCACAAAUAUUAUUGAAAAAUAUGUCGCUGCUUUGUAAAAAAAAAUCUUCGGAAUUGUUCAACAAAAGAAGAAUACGUUGUUGAACUUGAGAGAAAAAGAAAAAACUUUUAACUGGGACAUUUCAGAGACACCAUACUAUGAUUACCUCGUACGAUAACCUCUGACUUAAAAUCAAAUGAAAACCGUCUGGCCCGACCCAGAGGCCAAAAGAAACCUACAUCCAAGUUGGAGAUUUCACCCCAAACAACGUCCUUUUCAAUCCAAUGUGCUAAUACAGCAGCGUCUUAAUCUCUUACCCCAUUAAGCUGCAUAAUGUGUAAUAAAAUCCUCAAUCUAGGCACAGAGGCGGAAAACGUUGACUUGGGAUGAUGGUAAAAUCCCACAUGGGCAUCAGUGGCCUUCAUGGAGUGUGAGAGCAUGCUCACUCACCAAUACUUCUGGUUAAUGCCUCCAAAAUACCUAUUCAGGGUUAUGAAAACACAGUCUUUUCAUCAUUUUUCAACACAUCUUUUACUAUGGUUGACGUUAAUCAUUAAAAAAAGAUGGAUCCACAGGAAAGGCCUUUUUAAUUCUUGAGAAUGACAAGUGAAUGACACGUCACUGUCAUUCACCUCCAAGAGAAAGAAAAAAACUCUGUUUCAUUAUUAUAUAAUGCACAUAUUCAGUAUUCAAAUUUGGAAAACACCUUUUUCUUGCUACUGAUUCUAAAAUGGAAUAAUUUGGAUAAAACGCUAUUUUCUCAGUAAAUAUAAUUUCACAGGUUUUUGUGGUUUAAAUAUAUUUUUUCUGAGUGAGUAAAUUAUGACAAAUUUAUAACAUACAACAUGGGAGAAAGAGUGAAUUUCAAAGAAUUAAUUAGACCACGAAUCCAAAUAAAAUCAACAGGAUACAGUAGUUUUUAAACGCUUGUUUGUGGAAUAAAUUAAUACAAACAUGCACAUACAUAUCUGUUUUUUGUUGUUUCCUGGGCGGCCUUUACUUGCCAUGAAGUUGAUGCUUGUUUCUCUCACAGGAUCUGGCAACAGUGACUAUACAGUUGACUCUACCUAAUGCAUGAAUAAUGUCUAGAACAUCAGUUGCAAAGGUUGUAAGAGUGAGUGACAUGCUCAUUUAUCUUCUUCUUAUCUUCCAGUCUUGGAGGAAUCAACAUACAAACUUAAAUAUUAAAAUGCCUUGCAGAGGGUGUCACAAUGUCAGAACUUAUUUAAGAUACUUUUUUUUUUCCAUUCCGUAUUGGAAUGAUUUUGCCAUCAUAUCAAACUAGAGUCCUGCCUCGGUCACACAGUAACAAUCCAUCCUGAGCUCUGGAAUCACUUGUCAAAUCUAAUGCAUCGAGACACAACGGGGCCGUCUCAUCGAUCGUCUCCCAAGGGUGCUUUAAAUUGUUCCACUAGCACUAUACAUUAAAGGAAGAACAUCAAGAGACACUGCGUUCGGCCAAGAGGCUCCAUUCUCAUCCUUAAUACGUCCUAGUGAAGGUAACUGAGGAGCUAGAUUUUGAGGCUCCAGACAGCCUUUAGUCCAGAUGCCUUAGAUUUGCCACGCUUGCAUCGCCAACACUCCUUGGGGCAUUGCCUGCUCCAGAAAUUUCUGUAGGAAUGCCUGGGCUUCCGCUCUGUCACUCCCAGUGAUCUUCACGACGAAUGGUCCCGAAGAGAUAAGGCAGCCGGACAAUGAGCGUGUCCACCUGGCCAGGCGAGAUGCUCCAUCACGCCGCCCGGGGUUACUAAAGUGUCACCGGGCCGCUGCAUUGGAGAAGUGCCAUCUCCUCAAUGGCUCCCUGGCAGAUACAGAGGACCUCCUGGCAACAGGAAAACGCUGCUGACUGCAAUGACUGCGAGGUCUGAACUCAUUCUGAACCAGGCGGGGUCCAAGACUGAAGCUGUGCGAAGCAAGAACGUCACGUGACCAAGAGCCCAGUGUCACAAUGCGAUGCACCUGCACGGAGGCUCCGGAGAGCUGCAUGGAAAAGUAUUGGUUUACUGAUGAACUGCUGGUUUUAGGUCUUCUCCGAUGCAGCAUCGUGUGCUCUUUUACGGCGAGGCGGGAUUCAGGUUGGGAUUCACAGGUCGCUACGCUCACCUGCUGCUUGAUAAAUGACAGGCAUAUGACGCCACAGGCAUGUAUAGAACAAAAGGGCACAAUGCAGACCCCAAGUCUCCUGAAGCGCUGUUUUGACCGGUUGAUGUUUAAGGUGGCAUUUAAAACGCGCUGGCGAUCUCUCAGUUUGAAUCCAGUGACUCAACAACGGGAAAUUAAAGUUUCUGUUAACACGAGGCUCGGCAUCGGCCCAGACGGGGGAGAGACAGAAGAUCAGAUAGCAUUUUGUGUUGUGCCAGCAUUAUAGGCUGUUUGAAAAGGAGCCAUUGUUUUUGUCUUUGCUUUCAGUGGCUCGUCAUCAGAGAGUGUGCAGUCGUAGCCGCGGGCUGAAUUUCAGUAGAGAGUCUCCAGCAACUCUGUGAAACUAGGCUGUUCAAAUAAUAUCCUGCAAAAAACGUGACUUCAGCUGAAGACAAUAGGUUUUUUUCUGCACAUUACAACAAAAGCACAUAGUUUGAAUUCUUACUUCAGUUAAUUAUAUUGCUGAAUCCCUAAUGUUGAAUAAUUAGCACAAUUAGCACAAUUAACACACUUAUUGUUAAUCCCGUAGGUUUCGUUACUCGGCACACGUUGGGAAGACCACACCUGUGAAGAAUCUUUGUGUACCUGCAGUUGAGUUAUUUUUAAGUAUACUACUGUCGACUUCAGAGAUAAAAAUCUUGAUUAUCUUAAGAUCACUAAUGGCGUUGUGCUCUUUUUUAAUUGACUGAAGUUGUCGUCCAGUCCUUUCUGAGCCGUAGAAAUCCUUUUCUACGGGGGGGAGGAGCUGGUGUUAAAAACAGUGCCGCACUCUGCUUAAAUCACACCAGAUGGCUCCAAGAGCGACACAAGAAGUAGGUAAUCUGGAUUUAUGACCUUGCACAUAUGCCGAGCGUGGGGGCAUCUGCUGCGAUAAAAAUGGCAGCUAUUUUAAUGAAAGCAGGAACUUUGCACUAAUAUCUCACAGAGGGGGAGUGUUGUAAAACUACAACGCGCAUUACACCAAGGUUACUCCUACGACGGGCCUGCUAUUGUCCUCGCAUAUGCAAGAGCAGCUUUGAAUCCCACUUGAAAGCCAUCUUGCUUCUCUUGAGCCCCUUAAAAAAUAUUUAUGCGGUGAAAAUGAUGAAAUCUUCAAUGGUGGUAUUUGUGUGGCGGAUGCUGUUUCGUUACAUUACAUCCAAAGUUAUUACUGGUUUCUCUCACUGCUGCCACUUCUUUUCUCAGCCACGAAUAACCAAGUGACAGAAGCUGUUACAAGAGAGGGAAGAGGGUGAAGGGGGGGGGAGACAAAUGAGAUGUGUCUCGUUGAGGCCACGGAAACUAAAUGUGAGAACAAAAUCUACUUAAACAGCAAGUUAAUAUUGUAAAAACUCACUUUAUUCUCAAUUUUCUUUUUCUAAACAUAAAUAUUGUCGAAUAAAGCAAAUUGUCCAAGCAACGUUUUCCAUUAUUGUUAUUCGAUUUGAUAGCGUCUCCACUUGGUGUCAGGUCGCGACAGAUGGAUCCAGCUGUUUCAGCCACAUUUCCUUUCGUUACACAAUGGCGGCUGCUGCCACAGGAGUGAUACAAACUGAUUUAUUUCUCUCCCGUCACCUAAGCGUUGCUCAUACUCCUUCUCUCUCUUCACAGUUGCAAUUUGGUGUGACAGGCCUAACGCAUAAUCCUUGCAGGGAGAUGACGAGCGAAUGUAAGUCAUGUCACAAUGACUCUGAAAUAGAAACUGAAUCACAGGCUCCCUCAUGAUGGUCUAUCAUGCAGAAUAACAACCCCGGAGAAGUGACAAGCAUGCGUCCUUGGUAUGCCCCCCCCCCCCACCAUCGUCUCCAUAGGGAAGUCCUUCUUAUACCUGAUCCUCUUGUUACUUUGGUGUGAAAACACGAGCCUCAGAAGUUAGAGAGCUCAUCUCGGGCAGCAUGUUGGGACGACUCGGAGCUCUCGUUUUGUCCACUUGCAUUGGGCUUAAACCUUAAGCCUGUUGACUAAUUGGUUGUUGAACGACUCAAACACAAACGGGUGCCCUUGUUUUUCUUGCUCCCUCAUCAGGAGAAGCGACAAGCACAAACCUCCAUUUGAUCUGCGAUUGUUUGAGAGAGAAUGGGGUUUCCUCAUUGAGGAACAAAGCCAAAUCCUCAUUAGUGAUCAGAGCUGUCAGCCUCAAUACAGUGACUCCCCACAAUAACUGGUAAAACAGGCUGUUUAGCUCCAGGCUGCUGGGUAAAUAGAUAUAAAGAUGACUCUUUUUGCCUGUAUUCAAACACUCCAAUAUGAUUCCUCUGUGGUAGAAUUCCUGUGGAAUGAAUGAUCCCUUUCAUGAGCUGUUGCACAUUGCCAACGAAGGUAGAAGGUAAACUCAAAGUGAAGAUUCAGAAGAUGACGAAUGCAUGAAAAAUGUGUGGACAAGACUCCUGAAAUGAGCAAAGAUAAGUCUCUUUGCAAACUCCUCCAAUUAUCUUCCACCACCACUUUCUGUCCAUCGGCUGCUUUAGAAAAAGGAGGCGGUCACGUGGUCACAUGGUCCUUCUUACUACAAAAAAGAAUAAUUAACCACAAUCCACUUGUUUGUUUGCAAAAGUUGUGUUUUGUCCAAGCGGAAAGCUGAUUUAGAAUUUACAACACAUCAGGAAUAUUAGUAACAUUUCUCUCGUGCAGCUCCGGUCCAACCGACAAACACCGUCACCGUGGGACGUGACCCGAGGAUGGCAGCACGUGAAUCUCGAGCGAUUGACCCUCGCGGCUCCAUCAAUUCAACUCCGCCCUCUGCAGUUCUGACGUGGUUCAUGAGAAGCUGCGAUGGGAACAACAAACUGUGUGUUUUCACAGAGAGAAUCCUGGUUGUCAUCCCUUGAAACUGCAAAACUGAGGCACAAAGCCUUUUGGAUACUGCCAUCCAUCUUCCUUUUUUUUUUUUGCACAGCUGAGGAACGCAAUAGAGAUGCUUCUAAUUCACUCUGUCCAAACUGUAGCCAAGUGUCUGAACAUUUCAUAAUUUUUCCCAAAAGCUGGCUUGUUAAGAUUGCCUCCACCACUCAGAGCCUGUCGGAUACGCCGCUCUCUUUUUCUAAUGAGGAACGCGAGCGAGUGUGAAACCAGAUUUUUAGCCUCAUCUUGCAUCGUGCCUUCGCCAUUUUUUUUCAUUCGCUUCCUGCAUACAUGCCUACUACCCGUGUCUUGAGCUGUCACGGCGGAUCCUUCACUCUUUUACCCCCUUUGAAGUGCAAUUACUGUUGAUAAAGAUCCAAUGCAAGCUGUGCAGCUGACAAUCAGACCGGAGCAAAGUCAAUUUGACUUAAUUGGUUGAAAAAAUGAAACGUGGGACCGGCGUCUCCAGGCUUCCUGCUUUAAUUGUGUUUUGUCGUCCUCUCGGUUUUAAGCCACACACUUUAAUGAAUCGCAGGUCGGUCACUUGCACAAAUACCCAGGGAAACUGCCGCCCAUCCUCAGCACGGUCGACUCGACGCGGUAAUGACACCUCUCUCACUUUUGGAGGAUAAGAGCAGCGCUGGAGGCUACGUGCAGGAGGUGAGGUGGACGCAGAGCUCCCGUUGGUCAGCGGACAGCAAAGUUAGAGCUUGACGCUCUGCAAAGUCCCUGACUUUGUAUUGACAGUUUGCUAAUUCGAUUAGAGGACGGAUUAGGAGCUGAACAUCUGGUCUUUGUAAUGGCGCUCAUUAUUAAGCUCCACAGCGGAGCGAUGAGCAGAUUGUUCGAGCACCUGUAUUGCUUGUGUUCAUAUCACCAGUGUGCUACAAUUGUGUUCGUUGCCUUUGAUGCACAACAUGAGAAAUCCAUGUUCUCCGCCUGUCACUUCGCCCGCUCUAAUUUCAUUUUUUCUUACAUAUUCAUGGGAGGAAUAUUUGAUUUCUUUGCUCGUACCGUGGGAGACGGGACAGUUCAAUCUUGUGGCUGGUGGGACGGCUGGCCCCUCGGAGAGCUUAUCAUCGCUGAUGUACAAACUUCAGUGUGACUUAAUGAAAGCCAUUUUUCUCUCCCCACUGUGCAGCGUACACUGAAGCUGCAGUGCAUCAUGUCCAAUUUUGCCUCAGAGUUACAAUUUCCUACCGGCAAGCCUGAAUGUCCCUUCCGGGGGAAAGGUAGACCCGCUUAAUAAUACAUUAGUUUUUUAUUUAGCAUCCACGUUAUUUGAAAACAGACAACCUGUAUUCAUUUUCACAAGGAUUUUGUUUGGGUUGUUGAUAAAAAGUAAAAAAAAGAGCGGAAGCAGUGGUAAUCUUGUGUAAUUGGUUAUUGUAAGAAAGGCACUUUGAAGCCCCAACAAGUAAAUAUUACUUCAUUUUGGAUUAGAGGCAAAACAAAACCAAAAGUUGCUCCAUUGCUAAUUACCUCUGAACAAAAAUAAAGAUUUUGAGUGAUUACGUUUUCACCGCUGUGUUGGCGUAUUUACCAUCGGGAGUGCUGUCAUAAGGGGACUAACAGCUGGGAUCCCCAAAGUAAAUCUAGAAAGCUUCUCAGCCCCGGGACCUAUAGCACAUUACCGCUGUGAACAUUUGUGUGUACCAGCACCAGCGUGCCCGUCUGUGUGUGUGCGCGAGGGAUUGUUUGACGCACGCUACGGGCCCAGCGGGGCGUCUCCAAUGACAGCGGCGGUUCCGAGGGAUUGUUCUAGGAAUUUAUUGGCCAGUGAUCGGCGGCCUCUCAUGUCAAGACACGGCAGCCGGAGGCUUUGUUAAAUCAAGUGGGCUCCAACUGGUUCUUC